rnacentral:misc_RNA from 1 species
GAAAACAAAUGAACCAGCAAGAAGGAAGGUUAAAAAAACAAGAACUCAGGCAGAAAUAUCAUUUUGGUUUCCAUGAGCAGUUGAUUGAGUGCCAGAGGACUCAUGUCUGUGCUCCUCUUGACCUUUAGAGUUGGCAUCUUCAGAUUUCGACUCAGGGGGUGCGUUAGUACCUGCUGUGCCACAAAGUAUGCAAGGAUUUGAAGGUCUUUGAGAGCACCAAUUUUCUGGAACACUUAGGAAAUGUGUGUCGAUAAACU